rnacentral:miRNA from 1 species
AAGCAGCAGUGGCAAGACUCCU